AUUGAACGCUGGCGGCAGGCCUAACACAUGCACGUCGAGCGAGCGGCGGACGGGUGAGUAAUGUAUGGGGACUGCCCGAUAGAGGUGGAUAACUACUGGAAACGGUGGCUAAUACCGCAUACUAUCGGAUAACCCAUAUGGGAUUAGCUAUUAGGUGGGGUAAAGGCUCACCUAGGCGACGAUCUCUACCUGGUCUGGGAGGAUGAUAAGCCGCACGGGGACUGAGACACGGCCCAUACUCCUACGGAGGCAGCAGUGGGGAAUAUUGCACAAUGGGGUCAAGUCUGAUGCAGCCAUGCCGCUUGUAUGAAGAAGGCCUUAGGGUUGUAAAGUACUUUCAGCGGGGAGGCGUUACCCGCAGAAGAAGCACCGGCUAACUCCGUGCCAGCAGCCGCGGUAAUAC
rnacentral:rRNA from 1 species